GAUAGCAGCAGCUAAUAUACAUUGAGUGCUUACGGUAUCCAGCACCAUCUUAAAAGCUUUAUAUGCACUAACUCAUCUCAUCCUCACCUAUGAGGUAGGCGUUAUUAUCUUUACCCUCAUUUUACAGAAGAGAAAGCGGAGGAAGAGUAAACGUAAGCAUCUUGCCCAUGGCAGCACCGCUAAUGAUUUGCAGAGCCAAGAUCCAGGAACAGGACAGUGCCAUGGAGUAGGGGAAACAAGCAAUUGGUGGAUCAACAGAGGUACUCACGUUUCACUGUGCAAGGCUGGGUCAGACCAACCCUUGCUUCUCCAAGUGUGGUUACCAACAGGCAGUAUGGGCCUCACCUGGGGGUGGAGCUUGCCGGAGAUGCAGGAUCUCAGACCCCACCCCUGACUGGCCGAACAAAGAUCUGCAGAUCACCAGGUGAUUCUGGUGUUGUGCUGGGCUGGGGGCACAGAGAUGAAAGAGGCACGUGACCUGCCUACAAGGACCUCGCUUUCUGGUGCAGGGGAUGACCUGUAAUACAAUUCAGGGCAGCAAGGGCCAAGAUGG